CUCUCCUCUCCUCGCAGUCUCACCUCACAACCUCGCAAGCCGCAAGCCGCCAACUCAACUCGCACCCGAGGGAGAGAAGACAGAGAAGGCGAAACCCUAGCCCACACCGAGCCACCGAGAGACGCGCCCCCCGGCUGAUGGUUUCGAUGAGCACGACGCCCAACCCGCUCGACCAUGCCGCCGCCGUCGCGGGCGGAGGCGGGGAUGGUGGCGGGGGAGGCGGGAAGCAGCAGCGGACGCAGGGGGCGGUCGUGAUGGCGCCGCCGCCGAUGGCGGUGCCGGCGCCGGCGGAGGGGGAGGAGGCCAGGAAGGCCAGGAAGCCGUACACCAUCACCAAGUCGCGGGAGAGCUGGACGGAGCCGGAGCACGACAAGUUCCUCGAGGCGCUGCAGCUUUUUGAUCGUGAUUGGAAAAAGAUUGAAGCAUAUGUUGGCUCAAAGACUGUCAUACAGAUAAGAAGCCAUGCACAGAAGUACUUUUUGAAGGUUCAGAAGAAUGGUACAGGUGAGCAUCUGCCCCCACCCCGGCCAAAGCGAAAGGCAGCUCAUCCAUAUCCACAGAAGGCUUCUAAAAAUGCUCCUGCAGUUUCUCAAGCUGUUUUCUCCCAACAACUCCCUGCUCUGAGGGAGCAAGGCUCUGUUGUGUGUAUGGAUACAUCUACUGUUGUUAGAAACACAAAUGCAGAUGCAGUGGUGCCUUCCCGGGACAAUGCUCUUGUGCAGCCGUUCAGUGCAAGUCAUGUGCAAGGUGCUGUUGCAACAAAUAACUGCUCUAGUAGCAUAGAGGGCCCAUCCGGGACAUGGCAAACUUCUGAAGGAGUUGAGCAAGAAAAUGCGGUUCCACCACUCCGUGCCAUGCCGGAUUUUGCCCGAGUAUACAGCUUUCUGGGAAGCAUAUUUGAUCCUGAUACUAGUGGGCAACUGCAGAGGUUAAAGGCGAUGGAUCCAAUUGACGUUGAGACGUCUUGACUACAGUCUUCAGUCUUUAUUAAAAGUAGCUGGUGGCUCAACAGGAGACUCUAAUAGCCACGUCCUUUGAUUUACAUGAUAAACUGAAUACAUUCUUGAGUUUGAGAUGUAGUUUCUAAAUAUUCUUAAUCCAGCAGUGUUUAAUAAAAAUAAUUAACCAUCAGUCAUACCUGUCGGAUAGGUGUUAGUUAAGUUUCACCAAAAUUCUGCUUGAGUCUUGCUAUCUUUAAAAAUAGAACAAGCGGCAAGCCUUUUUAACUCCAUUUGUUUUUCUUCCCAAUAAGAAGUUCAGAUAUUAUGUUGUUUAACUUUGAAUUGCCCUAAGCCUCCUCUUCUGUUUUCUUCCAUUUAUUUUUCAGAAUUUGUGAAAUCUUGAUUGAUUUCCUUAACUUUAUUAGUAUUGGCCCAUGCAAAUGUGAUUUGUGACUUACAAUGAACAUUGGUCGGAUUGACUGAUCUACAGCGGAGGUUGUUAUCAUCAUAUAGCUAUGGUCGUGGGGACCACAUUAAAUCUGAAGGCAUGGAAAAUCUUGGAUCUCCUCAGAGUUGCCAUCUCCCGUUCAUGGUAACAAGUGAAUGAGAGAACACUGCCCGUUUGCAGUCGAAGCUUCAGUUGUUUCCACGAGACCACGAGACGUUCUUGUGUGCUCCCUGUACUGGAGUUGCGGACGACUGGUAUGACAGUUUAUAAAUGCUAGAAACGUGUUGUGGCAGUGACAUCUGUAUAGCUUCCAAUAAUGGUCUAACCCUAGGCUAGUUUUGCCCAUCAUGUUCAUGUAGAUAGCCAGAUUUGUGUGCUCGUGCAAUUUUUUUUCCUCGUGUGGGGCCUAGAUCGAUGUGUUUUUGUACACGUCAGUGUAUGCGUGUAUGUAAAUAUGUCUGAUCAUGUAAUGCUUGAGGUACUGGGAGUCUUUGAUUAAGACAAGAUAUACUAAAUAAACAAGGACGGGAAUGAAGAGUUUUUCAAUA